GCAGACACAUCCCAGCCAAUCAGCAGCAGACCCUCCCUCCCAGACCCUCCCACCUCCUGGACAGCAUCCAUUUUACAUUCAUUGUGAAGCUGCAUUCUUAGUGAGCUGUCCAGGAGGUGGGAGGGUCUGGGAGGGAGGGUCUGCUGCUGAUUGGCUGGAAUGUGUCUG